rnacentral:rRNA from 1 species
AAUGAACGCUGGCGGCAGGCUUAACACAUGCAAGUCGAGCGGAGCGAGGGUGCUUGCACCUUAGCUUAGCGGCGGACGGGUGAGUAAUGCUUAGGAAUCUGCCUAUUAGUGGGGGACAACAUUCCGAAAGGAAUGCUAAUACCGCAUACGCCCUACGGGGGAAAGCAGGGGAUCUUCGGACCUUGCGCUAAUAGAUGAGCCUAAGUCGGAUUAGCUAGGUGGUGGGGUAAAGGCCUACCAAGGCGACGAUCUGUAGCGGGUCUGAGAGGAUGAUCCGCCACACUGGGACUGAGACACGGCCCAGACUCCUACGGGAGGCAGCAGUGGGGAAUAUUGGACAAUGGGCGGAAGCCUGAUCCAGCCAUGCCGCGUGUGUGAAGAAGGCCUUUUGGUUGUAAAGCACUUUAAGCGAGGAGGAGGCUACUUAGAUUAAUACUCUGGGAUAGUGGACGUUACUCGCAGAAUAAGCACCGGCUAACUCUGUGCCAGCAGCCGCCGUAAGAC